rnacentral:rRNA from 1 species
GUGCAGCAGUCGCGAAAACUCCGCAAUACACGAAAGCGUGACGGGACUAUCCCGAGUGCCGUCCGCUGAGGAUGGCUUUUCCCCAGUGUAGACAGCUGGGGGAAUAAGGAGAGGGCAAGUCUGGUGUCAGCCGCCGCGGUAAUACCAGCUCUUCGAGUGGUAGGGAUGUUUAUUGGGCCUGAAGCAUCCGUAGCCGGCUGGGCAAGUUCUCUGUUAAAUCCAGCGAUUCAAUCGUUGGAUUGCGGGGAAUACUGUUCGGCUUGGGGGCGAGAGAGGCCGUCGGUAUUCUCGGGGUAGGGGUGAAAUCCUAUAAUCCCGAGAGGAACACCAGUGGCGAAGGCUGUCGGCUAGAACACGCCCGACGGUGAGGGAUGAAAGCUGGGGGAGCGAACCGGAUUAGAUACCCGGGUAGUCC